GCGGCGGCGCUGCCGGCCCCAGGUAAGAGCAGGAGCGGCGCCCGGCCCGCGCCCUCGGCCCGGCAUACAUCCGCUGGAGCACCGGCGCCGUUUCUGAAAAAUAACUUCAGCUUCUGCCCGUGGAAGGGUGAAAGUUAAACCCAUUUCUCCAGCCCGCAAACACUAAACACUGCAGUAAGUUAGCCCAAAUCCCAUGAAAAUACGUGAGCUUUCCUCGAACCGGGACCAACUAGCCAGCGGCUUAGCACGAGUGAAAGCUGUCUCCGUGGCUCAGUGCAUCUGCCUUUUGCCCCCCUAGUCACAGAAAUCCAUCAUAUUACCAGGUAAUCAAUUUUUGGUGAAGUGCGGUUUGCCUUUGAAGCAUCAGAGACUGCUCACAGGGAGCGAUGCAACGGCAGGAGGUUUACAAGAUAUAAAACCAAGAUGCUUCUGUGCCUCCAUUUGCCUGUGUGCUUGGUUAAAAAACAAUGAUCCGUGGUGGAGUUAGGAUCUCUGGGCAACUAAAACACUGGUGGUAUCCUCAACCUCUCCUGGUUUUAUCUCAUAGCAUGCUAACUUCCAUGCACUUUGGUCUGCUGUGCUGCAUCUCCUUCACCUUUUUAUAGGGUAUUUAAAAAAAAGUUUUGUGGUUCUUGGUAUGUUCUGUAGGCUGCAAUGGAGCAGGCAUUAUUUCAGAGUUGCCUGUGAUUGUGGAGAACCACAGGGCAUGACCAAAGCAGUCUUUUACAGUCCUAUGCUUUAUAUAAAUUUCUAACAAUUCUGUAUAAGUACAGAAGCUAGCAAGUCUGUGUAAGUAGAGCAAGUAAUGGUGGUGUGCUUUGGUAACAUCUUAAAGAUGCAUAAUUUGAAACAAUUGCCUUGGUUCUUAAUGAGUUUUUCUCCCUGAACCACAAACAUCUCACAUCAUCAGAAUUACAUUUUUGGUCUCCGGCCAUUUACUUCACUUCUACUGGAGAGUUUUUUAGACUGUCUCUGAAUUAAUAGAAAUCACACCUGUGUUGCCAUUUCUAUUAUUGUAUAAUCUCCAAUACUUCUUAACUAUUUUACCUAUUGCCAUCUGAUUAUAUGCUUCUGCCAGUUCAGUUUCCUUUUACUCUGCUCUCUACAUUAGUAUCACCUGCUUAUUCUGAGGCUUCUCCAGAGAAGAUCUGCUCUGGAAUUAAUGCUACUUCAAGUCUCCCUGCUACUCCACAAUGGAAAAAAAUAAAACAAUUGGUGACACUCAGAUGAUCAGUGAUUAUCAGAAAAAUUCCAGUGCUGUACUCAUGCACAGGCCAGCCUUAAACAGCUGUUGUCUGCAUGGGCAAGACUGUGUCUCCUCCACAGACUUCCAGGAUCUGUAAGUCAUAGAGAAAACACUUUGCCAAUUCGAUGUAUCUAUCCUUCCAGGGGAAAAGUAUUUCCAUAACAGUAUGAACAUAGGUUUCCAGUUUGCUAAUCAAGUCACAAUGUAGUCUAUGCAUUUUCACAAAACAACCCAAUGGCUACUUGCUAUAAUUCUAUUACUUUUAAAAAAAUCCUUGUUUCUGUCAGUAAUGUAUGUCCUCUUCCAUUCUAUACUGCAUUUUAUACCUAUAAUAUAUAAAAAUACCUAUUAUAUAUAAUAGAUAUUUUUCCCACUCUUUUUUUCCCCUUAAAUUAUCAAAGCCACUUACAUCAACAUAUACACCUCAGCUAAACAAUUACCUGAAGUCUUCAAAUAGUUUUACAGAGUGUCAUCUCUCAAUUUCCAUGAAAUUAAAAGACAAAUGAACACAAUGAAAACAAACUGUAAGAAGCCUCCAAUGAUUCCGACCACAAUUGUUACUAACAGAUUUUGUUUCUUACAGUUGAAAACUGGCAGGAAUGCAAAUCAAAUUGUAUCACAUAUGUCAAACAGCUUCACAAUUAUGCAAUCAACUUGCACUGCAAAUUAAAAACAAGACUUGCUACUAGAUCUUAAGUCAAAACAAAUUCAAAAUGUCAAUAAGCUCAGCAAAAGCAUUCCUCAACAAAUCUACUCAUGUCUGUUAUGAUGGCAGAACCAGAAAACAAAGAGGCUUGAAAGGAAGUAGAAAAGUAGAGACCAAAUUGCUUCAUCUUUUACAAGAGAAAUUACUGACAUUCACAAUGUCUUAGGGAGUUAACUACUCUACUUCAAUCAAUUUUCAACAGGAGUUCUGUUUCCAUCUCUCUCAAGAAUAAAACCUUUAACUUAAUAACA